AGAGUUUGAUCCUGGCUCAGGAUGAACGCUAGCUACAGGCUUAACACAUGCAAGUCGAGGGGAAACGACAUCGAAAGCUUGCUUUUGAUGGGCGUCGACCGGCGCACGGGUGAGUAACGCGUAUCCAACCUGCCCAUCACUUGGGGAUAACCUUGCGAAAGUAAGACUAAUACCCAAUGAUAUCUCUAGAAGACAUCUGAAGGAGAUUAAAGAUUUAUCGGUGAUGGAUGGGGAUGCGUCUGAUUAGCUUGUUGGCGGGGUAACGGCCCACCAAGGCGACGAUCAGUAGGGGUUCUGAGAGGAAGGUCCCCCACAUUGGAACUGAGACACGGUCCAAACUCCUACGGGAGGCAGCAGUGAGGAAUAUUGGUCAAUGGGCGAGAGCCUGAACCAGCCAAGUAGCGUGAAGGACGACGGCCCUACGGGUUGUAAACUUCUUUUAUAAGGGAAUAAAGUUCGCCACGUGUGGUGUUUUGUAUGUACCUUAUGAAUAAGCAUCGGCUAAUUCCGUGCCAGCAGCCGCGGUAAUACGGAAGAUGCGAGCGUUAUCCGGAUUUAUUGGGUUUAAAGGGAGCGUAGGCGGGCUUUUAAGUCAGCGGUCAAAUGUCGUGGCUCAACCAUGUCAAGCCGUUGAAACUGUAAGCCUUGAGUCUGCACAGGGCACAUGGAAUUCGUGGUGUAGCGGUGAAAUGCUUAGAUAUCACGAAGAACUCCGAUCGCGAAGGCAUUGUGCCGGGGCAGCACUGACGCUGAGGCUCGAAAGUGCGGGUAUCAAACAGGAUUAGAUACCCUGGUAGUCCGCACGGUAAACGAUGAAUGCUCGCUAUGGGCGAUAUAUUGUCCGUGGCCAAGCGAAAGCGUUAAGCAUUCCACCUGGGGAGUACGCCGGCAACGGUGAAACUCAAAGGAAUUGACGGGGGC
rnacentral:rRNA from 1 species